UACGGGGGGAGCAAGCGUUGUUCGGAUUUACUGGGCGUAAAGGGCGCGUAGGCGGCCACCGCAAGUCGGUUGUGAAAUCUCUGGGCUUAACCCAGAAAGGUCAACCGAUACUGCGGGGCUAGAGUGCAGAAGGGGCAACUGGAAUUCUCGGUGUAGCGGUGAAAUGCGUAGAUAUCGAGAGGAACACCAGCGGCGAAGGCGGCGCUCUGGGCCGGAACUGACGCUGAGGAGCGAAAGCGUGGGUAGCAAACAGG
rnacentral:rRNA from 1 species